rnacentral:rRNA from 1 species
AUGAACGCUAGCGACAGGCCUAACACAUGCAAGUCGAGGGGCAGCGACAAGGAGCAAUCUGAGGUGGCGACCGGCGGCACGGGUGAGUAACACGUAUGCAACCUGCCUGUAAGCGGGGAAUAACCCGUUGAAAGACGGACUAAUACCGCAUAAUACUAAAUUACUGCAUGGUAAUUUAUUUAAACAUUUAUGGCUUACAGAUGGGCAUGCGCAUGAUUAGCUAGUUGGAGAGGUAACGGCUCCCCAAGGCAACGAUCAUUAGGGGUUCUGAGAGGAAGGUCCCCCACACUGGUACUGAGACACGGACCAGACUCCUACGGGAGGCAGCAGUGAGGAAUAUUGGUCAAUGGACGAGAGUCUGAACCAGCCAAGUCGCGUGCAGGAAGAAUGUCCCUAUGGAUUGUAAACUGCUUUUGCAGGGGAAUAAAGUGCAUCACGUGUGAUGUUUUGUAUGUACUCUGCGAAUAAGGAUCGGCUAACUCCGUGCCAGCAGCGGC